rnacentral:rRNA from 1 species
AUUGAACGCUGGCGGCAGGCUUAACACAUGCAAGUCGAGCGAGCGGCGGACGGGUGAGUAAUGUCUGGGAAACUGCCUGAUGGAGGGGGAUAACUACUGGAAACGGUAGCUAAUACCGCAUACCAUCAGAUGUGCCCAGAUGGGAUUAGCUAGUAGGUGGGGUAAUGGCUCACCUAGGCGACGAUCCCUAGCUGGUCUGAGAGGAUGACAGGCCAAACUGGACGUGAGCAACGGCCCAGACUCCUAGGGGAGGAAGAGGGGGGGAAUAUUGAAAAUGGGGCGCAAGCUGGAUGCAGCCAUGCCGCGUGUGUGAAGAAGGCCUUCGGGUUGUAAAGAACUUUCAGCGAGGAGGCGUUACUCGCAGAAGAAGCACCGGCUAACUCCGUGCAAGCAGCCGCGUAAUUC